AUUGAGCGCUGGCGGCAGGCUUAACACAUGCAAGUCGAGCGGGGUGAUGGUGCUUGCACUAUCACUUAGCGGCGGACGGGUGAGUAAUGCUUAGGAAUCUGCCUAUUAGUGGGGGACAACAUCUCGAAAGGGAUGCUAAUACCGCAUACGUCCUACGGGAGAAAGCAGGGGAUCACUUGUGACCUUGCGCUAAUAGAUGAGCCUAAGUCGGAUUAGCUAGUUGGUGGGGUAAAGGCCUACCAAGGCGACGAUCUGUAGCGGGUCUGAGAGGAUGAUCCGCCACACUGGGACUGAGACACGGCCCAGACUCCUACGGGAGGCAGCAGUGGGGAAUAUUGGACAAUGGGGGGAACCCUGAUCCAGCCAUGCCGCGUGUGCGAAGAAGGCCUUAUGGCUGUAAAGCACUUUAAGCGAGGAGGAGGCUCUUUUGGUUAAUACCCAAGAUGAGUGGACGUUACUCGCAGAAUAAGCACCGGCUAACUCUGUGCCAGCAGCCGCGGUAACAC
rnacentral:rRNA from 1 species